rnacentral:rRNA from 1 species
GAUUAGCUAGUUGGUAGUGUAACGGACUACCAAGGCGAUGAUCAGUAGCCGGUCUGAGAGGAUGAACGGCCACAUUGGGACUGAGACACGGCCCAAACUCCUACGGGAGGCAGCAGUGGGGAAUCUUCCGCAAUGGACGAAAGUCUGACGGAGCAACGCCGCGUGAGUGAUGAAGGAUUUCGGUCUGUAAAGCUCUGUUGUUUAUGACGAAGUGCAGUGUGUGAACAAUGCAUUGCAAUGACGGUAGUAAACGAGGAAGCCACGGCUAACUACGUGCCAGCAGCCGCGGUAAUACGUAGGUGGCGAGCGUUGUCCGGAAUUAUUGGGCGUAAAGAGCAUGUAGGCGGCUUAAUAAGUCGAGCGUGAAAAUGCGGGGCUCAACCCCGUAUGGCGCUGGAAACUGUUAGGCUUGAGUGCAGGAGAGGAAAGGGGAAUUCCCAGUGUAGCGGUGAAAUGCGUAGAUAUUGGGAGGAA